rnacentral:rRNA from 1 species
CCUACGGGAGGCAGCAGUGGGGAAUUUUGGACAAUGGGCGCAAGCCUGAUCCAGCAAUGCCGCGUGCAGGAUGAAGGCCUUCGGGUUGUAAACUGCUUUUGUACGGAACGAAACGGUGAGCUCUAAUACAGUUUGCUAAUGACGGUACCGUAAGAAUAAGCACCGGCUAACUACGUGCCAGCAGCCGCGGUAAUACGUAGGGUGCGAGCGUUAAUCGGAAUUACUGGGCGUAAAGCGUGCGCAGGCGGUGAUGUAAGACAGAUGUGAAAUGCCCGGGCUCAACCUGGGACCUGCAUUUGUGACUGCAUCGCUAGAGUACGGUAGAGGGGGAUGGAAUUCCGCGUGUAGCAGUGAAAUGCGUAGAUAUGCGGAGGAACACCGAUGGCGAAGGCAAUCCCCUGGACCUGUACUGACGCUCAUGCACGAAAGCGUGGGGAGCAAACAGGAUUAGAUACCCUGGUAGUCCACGCCCUAAACGAUGUCAACUGGUUGUUGGGUCUUCACUGACUCAGUAACGAAGCUAAACGCGUGAAAGUUGACCGCCGUUGGGUAGGUUACGGCCGGCGAGGUUAGGAACGUACGAAAGGAAGUUAGACGGCGNGAGACGNGCGACGGACGACGACGAGGGAGGUAGG